GAUACUGAUCUAACCUGACUUCGCUUUCGUUGUCCCGGUUUACACUGUCCGGAGAACGACCGAGGGAUCGAUGUUGGGUGCUAUUGUAACUGGUCACCACUUUAUCCAGAACGUCCAAGUAACGUGUCCCGGAGCGGAUUUAGACCAGGGACCAGUCUUCCUAAUCCGGAGUUGUCGGAGUACAUGUGUACGAAGUCAACGUGUGAUGUUCGUCAAUGGCUGGAGGUGGCGACGUCUGUGGUUAGUGGACAUGGACAACCCAGUGUUAUCGUCAGUGGCUUGAGAUGGCCAUAAUGAGCUCCAGUGUAGCGGUUUACUGUUGUAUCUGAACAGUAGGACAGGCGGAACUAUUGGAACGAGCGUGACAAUUGCUACUAUUGUAAAUGAAUGCUGGAAACAGAAACGUUCAGAUGUGUAUUUUGCAGCGCUGAGACUUUUCCCUAGAUGAACUGGGGUGUAUUUUAGUUCAUCGAGACAUUUUUGUAUACAUGUAUUUUGGGGAUGGGUUUAGUUUUGGUGUAUUAUAGAGGGAUGGUGUGGUAUGUUGUCUGAUGUGUGAUAUUCAUGUGUAUAUAUUUUGUAAUUAAAUUAUUUGAAUAUCA